rnacentral:rRNA from 1 species
UGAGCGGAACUCAAGGUGGAGCGGUGAAAUGCGUUGAUAUCUUGAGGAACACCGGUGGCGAAAGCGGCUCACUGGGUCUCUUCUGACGCUGAGGCACGAAAGCUAAGGUAGCAAACGGGAUUAGAUACCCCGGUAGUCUUAGCUGUAAACGAUGAGCACUUGAUUGGAGGGUCCUCCAUAGCCUUCCAGUCGUAGCGAAAGUGUUAAGUGCUCCGCCUGGGGAGUAUGGUCGCAAGGCUGAAACUCAAAGAAAUUGACGGGGGCUCACACAAGCGGUGGAGGAUGUGGCUUAAUUCGAGGCUACGCGAAGAACCUUAUCCUAGUCUUGACAUGUAUGGAUUAACCCUGUGAAAGCAGGGCCACGCCUUCGGGUGGAACAUACACAGGUGCUGCAUGGCUGUCGUCGGCUCGUGUCGUGAGAUGUCGCGUUAAGUCGCUUAACGAGCGAAACCCUUGUCUCUAGUUGCCAGCGUGUAAUGGCGGGGACUCUAGAGAGACCGCCGGCGUUAAGCCGGAGGAAGGUGGGGAUGACGUCAAGUCCUCAUGGCCCUUAUGACUAGGGCUGCACACGUCCUACAAUGGAACGCACAAAGGGAAGCGAAACCGCGAGGUCAAGCAAAUCCCAAAAAUCGUUCCCUAGUUCGGAUUGCUGCCCGCUCUCGCCUGCAUGAAGCUGGAAUCGCUAGUAA